GAUCAUUACCGAGUUAUACAACUCAUCAACCCUGUGAACAUACCUAAAACGUUGCUUCGGCGGGAACAGACGGCCCCGUAACACGGGCCGCCCCCGCCAGAGGACCCCCUAACUCUGUUUCUAUUAUGUUUCUUCUGAGUAAAACAAGCAAAUAAAUUAAAACUUUCAACAACGGAUCUCUUGGCUCUGGCAUCGAUGAAGAACGCAGCGAAAUGCGAUAAGUAAUGUGAAUUGCAGAAUUCAGUGAAUCAUCGAAUCUUUGAACGCACAUUGCGCCCGCCAGUAUUCUGGCGGGCAUGCCUGUUCGAGCGUCAUUACAACCCUCAGGCCCCCGGGCCUGGCGUUGGGGAUCGGCGAGGCGCCCCCUGCGGGCACACGCCGUCCCCCAAAUACAGUGGCGGUCCCGCCGCAGCUUCCAUUGCGUAGUAGCUAACACCUCGCAACUGGAGAGCGGCGCGGCCACGCCGUAAAACACCCAACUUCUGAAUGUUGACCUCGAAUCAGGUAGGAAUACCCGCUGAACCUAAGCAUAUC
rnacentral:misc_RNA from 1 species